rnacentral:rRNA from 1 species
AUUCAGCGGCGGACGGGUGAGUAAUGCCUAGGAAUCUGCCCGAUAGUGGGGGACAACGUUUCGAAAGGAACGCUAAUACCGCAUACGUCCUACGGGAGAAAGCAGGGGACCUUCGGGCCUUGCGCUAUCGGAUGAGCCUAGGUCGGAUUAGCUAGUUGGUGGGGUAAAGGCUCACCAAGGCGACGAUCCGUAACUGGUCUGAGAGGAUGAUCAGUCACACUGGAACUGAGACACGGUCCAGACUCCUACGGGAGGCAGCAGUGGGGAAUAUUGGACAAUGGGCGAAAGCCUGAUCCAGCCAUGCCGCGUGUGUGAAGAAGGUCUUCGGAUUGUAAAGCACUUUAAGCUGGGAGGAAGGGCAGUAAGUUAAUACCUUGCUGUUUUGACGUUACCAGCAGAAUAAGCACCGGCUAACUUCGUGCCAGCAGCCGCGGUAAUACGAAGGGUGCAAGCGUUAAUCGGAAUUACUGGGCGUAAAGCGCGCGUAGGUGGUUCAGCAAGUUGGAUGUGAAAGCCCCGGGCUCAACCUGGGAACUGCAUCCAAAACUACUGAGCUAGAGUACGGUAGAGGGUGGUGGAAUUUCCUGUGUAGCGGUGAAAUGCGUAGAUAUAGGAAGGAACACCAGUGGCGAAGGCGACCACCUGGACUGAUACUGACACUGAGGUGCGAAAGCGUGGGGAGCAAACAGGAUUAGAUACCCUGGUAGUCCACGCCGUAAACGAUGUCAACUAGCUGUUGGGUUCCUUGAGAACUUAGUAGCGAAGCUAACGCGAUAAGUUGACCGCCUGGGGAGUACGGCCGCAAGGUUAAAACUCAAAUG